rfam:Eutrema salsugineum unplaced genomic scaffold scaffold_2, whole genome shotgun sequence.
AGCCGUGCGAUAAGCACAAUAGCGAACUAUUCUUUCGCCUUUUACUAAAGAAUACCGUGUGCUUGUCGUGCUAAUCGGCAUACGCUUAUUUUUGGAGGGUUGGUCUCUUAUAGAGAUCA